GCCCGGCUCCGGGUCUCGGCCCGUACGGUCCGGCCGGCAUACUGCUGGCGGGGCUGGGGCCGGAGCCGAGCCCGCGG
rnacentral:pre_miRNA from 1 species